ACCCUGCACGCAAUGGACAACAUGCUGCAGAUGUUGCUGGUCAGCCAUCGCACCUCCUUCAGUGAGGAGUGGUGGAAUAUCUUGGAGGUGCUGCUACGCUUCACCAACACCCAGAGCAAAACUGUGCGGGCAAGGGCCAUGGAACGGAUCUCAAAGCUUUGUGGUUUCAUCACCAGCAGUUGCUGGCAGGAGCCAUUUGGAAUAUUCCUCCAGCCUUCUCAGAGGACAGACAUCGUCCGCAUGACCCUUGAGAUCAUUGGAGACUUCAGCACUGAGGACAAGGGGUGGGCCAAUUUUAUGCUGGGUGUAUUUCUGAGAGACCCUGCUACCUGGCUGAUGGAUGUGCCCAAGAUUCUGGAGUUCAUCCAGAGAAAUCUGGGAAGCAACAGGACAUCCUUUCAGCAGACCCUCUCCUCAGUGCUUCUUGUGAUGACCAAACAGUUUCCCAGGGAUGUGCUGACAAGUGUGUUGACUGACCUUCCUCAGUGUGACAGCACUACCCUGGACAUCUGGAAGAUGGUGCUCCAGCUGACAGAGACUUCCGAGAGGAUCUUGGAUGAACUGUGCCAUGUUCUCCAGGAGCCAGAGCUGUGUGGGAUCUUUAACGUCACCACAGCGGAAUUGGGCCUCCUUCGCCUGACUAUGAUGCCUCUCACUGAAGAAAUCCUGCAAGAGCCAGCAGCACUGCUGUAG
rnacentral:lncRNA from 1 species